rnacentral:rRNA from 1 species
UACGUAGGGUGCAAGCGUUAUCCGGAAUGAUUGGGCGUAAAGCGUCCGCAGGUGGCAAUGUAAGUCUGCUGUCAAAGCGUCUGGCUCAACCAGAUAAAGGCAGUGGAGACUACAUAGCUAGAGUAAGGUAGGGGUAGAGGGAAUUCCUGGUGUAGCGGUGAAAUGCGUAGAGAUCAGGAAGAACACCGGUGGCGAAAGCGCUCUGCUGGACCUUAACUGACACUGAGGGACGAAAGCUAGGGGAGCGAAUGGG